UAACUUUUGCCUGGAUCGCCCUUUCGGGUUUUCACAUGACGUUUGAACUCUUCACCAUCCAUAGUUGUAAGAAUCAAAGCACCGCAUAAAAAUGAUCUCUUAACAACAUAUGGGCCUUCAUAAUUAGGAGUCCAUUUUCCCCUAGCAUCAGGUUUGAAAGAUAGAAUCUUCUUGAACAAGAGGUCACCUUCUCAAAACACACGAGGUUUGAC
rnacentral:lncRNA from 1 species